UGGGGAAUUUUACGCAAUGGGGGAAACCCUGACGUAGCGACACCGCGUGAGCGAAGAAGCCUUUUGGGGUGUAAAGCUCUGUCAGCUGGAACGAACACAAUGACGGUACCAGCAGAGGAAGCAUCGGCUAACUACGUGCCAGCAGCCGCGGUAAGACGUAGGAUGCAAGCGUUGUCCGGAUUCAUUGGGCGUAAAGAGUUCGUAGGUGGUCUGUUAAGUUUGGUGUUAAAGAGCGGGGCCCAACCCCGAUAGUGCACUGAAUACUGGCAGACUUGAGUGCGGUAGAGGUAAGUGGAAUUCCAAGUGUAGCGGUGAAAUGCAUAGAUAUUUGGAAGAACACCGGUGGCGUAAGCGACUUACUGGGCCGUAACUGACACUGAGGAACGAAAGCCGGGGUAGCGAAU
rnacentral:rRNA from 1 species